AUUGAACGCUGGCGGCAGGCCUAACACAUGCAAGUCGAGGGACCGGCGCACGGGUGCGUAACACGUAUCCAACCUGCCCUUUACUCGGGGAUAGCCUUUCGAAAGAAAGAUUAAUACCCGAUAUAAAGGGUGGGGAUGCGUUCGAUUAGGUUGUUGGUGAGGGAACGGCCACCCAAGCAUUCGAUGGAUUGGGGUUCUGCUAGGAAAGUCCCCCACAUUGGAACUGAGACACGGUCCAAACGCCUACGGGAGGCAGCGGUUAGGAAUACUGGUCAAUGGGCGUUAGCCUGAACCAGCCAAGUAGCGUAAAGGAUGAAGGCUUAUGGGUCGUAAACUUCUUUUAUAUAAGAAUAUGUAUUAUAUGAAUAAGGAUCGGCUAACUCCGUGCCAGCAGCCGCGGUAAUAC
rnacentral:rRNA from 1 species